AAGCAGUUAAGAAGAUUCUUCGGAUGAUUCUUAACUGACUGAGCGGCGGACGGGUGAGUAACGCGUGGGUGACCUGCCCCAUACCGGGGGAUAACAGCUGGAAACGGCUGCUAAUACCGCAUAAGCGCACAGAGCUGCAUGGCUCGGUGUGAAAAACUCCGGUGGUAUGGGAUGGGCCCGCGUCUGAUUAGGCAGUUGGCGGGGUAACGGCCCACCAAACCGACGAUCAGUAGCCGGCCUGAGAGGGCGACCGGCCACAUUGGGACUGAGACACGGCCCAAACUCCUACGGGAGGCAGCAGUGGGGAAUAUUGCACAAUGGGGGAAACCCUGAUGCAGCGACGCCGCGUGAGCGAAGAAGUAUUUCGGUAUGUAAAGCUCUAUCAGCAGGGAAGAUAAUGACGGUACCUGACUAAGAAGCCCCGGCUAACUACGUGCCAGCAGCCGCGGUAAUACGUAUGGUGCAAGCGUUAUCCGGAUUUACUGGGUGUAAAGGGAGCGCAGGCGGUGCGGCAAGUCUGAUGUGAAAGCCCGGGGCUCAACCCCGGUACUGCAUUGGAAACUGUCGUACUAGAGUGUCGGAGGGGUAAGUGGAAUUCCUAGUGUAGCGGUGAAAUGCGUAGAUAUUAGGAGGAACACCAGUGGCGAAGGCGGCUUACUGGACGAUAACUGACGCUGAGGCUCGAAAGCGUGGGGAGCAAACAGGAUUAGAUACCCUGGUAGUCCACGCCGUANACGAUGAAUACUAGGUGUCGGGGAGCAUUGCUCUNCGGUGCCGCAGCAAACGCAAUAAGUAUUCCACCUGGGGAGUACGUUCGC
rnacentral:rRNA from 1 species